rnacentral:rRNA from 1 species
CAGCAGCCGCGGUAAUACGUAUGUCCCGAGCGUUAUCCGGAUUUAUUGGGCGUAAAGCGAGCGCAGACGGUUUAUUAAGUCUGAUGUGAAAGCCCGGAGCUCAACUCCGGAAUGGCAUUGGAAACUGGUUAACUUGAGUGCAGUAGAGGUAAGUGGAACUCCAUGUGUAGCGGUGGAAUGCGUAGAUAUAUGGAAGAACACCAGUGGCGAAGGCGGCUUACUGGACUGCAACUGACGUUGAGGCUCGAAAGUGUGGGUAGCAAACAGGAUUAGAUACCCUGGUAGUCCACACCGUAAACGAUGAACACUAGGUGUUAGGAGGUUUCCGCCUCUUAGUGCCGAAGCUAACGCAUUAAGUGUUCCGCCUGGGGAGUACGACCGCAAGGU